UGCAAGUCGAGCGGAAACGAGUUAUCUGAACCUUCGGGGGACGAUAACGGCGUCGAGCGGCGGACGGGUGAGUAAUGCCUAGGAAAUUGCCCUGAUGUGGGGGAUAACCAUUGGAAACGAUGGCUAAUACCGCAUGAUGCCUACGGGCCAAAGAGGGGGACCUUCGGGCCUCUCGCGUCAGGAUAUGCCUAGGUGGGAUUAGCUAGUUGGUGAGGUAAGGGCUCACCAAGGCGACGAUCCCUAGCUGGUCUGAGAGGAUGAUCAGCCACACUGGAACUGAGACACGGUCCAGACUCCUACGGGAGGCAGCAGUGGGGAAUAUUGCACAAUGGGCGCAAGCCUGAUGCAGCCAUGCCGCGUGUGUGAAGAAGGCCUUCGGGUUGUAAAGCACUUUCAGUCGUGAGGAAGGUAGUGUAGUUAAUAGCUGCAUUAUUUGACGUUAGCGACAGAAGAAGCACCGGCUAACUCCGUGCCAGCAGCCGCGGUAAUACGGAGGGUGCGAGCGUUAAUCGGAAUUACUGGGCGUAAAGCGCAUGCAGGUGGUUUGUUAAGUCAGAUGUGAAAGCCCGGGGCUCAACCUCGGAAUUGCAUUUGAAACUGGCAGACUAGAGUACUGUAGAGGGGGGUAGAAUUUCAGGUGUAGCGGUGAAAUGCGUAGAGAUCUGAAGGAAUACCGGUGGCGAAGGCGGCCCCCUGGACAGAUACUGACACUCAGAUGCGAAAGCGUGGGGAGCAAACAGGAUUAGAUACCCUGGUAGUCCACGCCGUAAACGAUGUCUACUUGGAGGUUGUGGCCUUGAGCCGUGGCUUUCGGAGCUAACGCGUUAAGUAGACCGCCUGGGGAGUACGGUCGCAAGAUUAAAACUCAAAUGAAUUGACGGGGGCCCGCACAAGCGGUGGAGCAUGUGGUUUAAUUCGAUGCAACGCGAAGAACCUUACCUACUCUUGACAUCCAGAGAACUUUCCAGAGAUGGAUUGGUGCCUUCGGGAACUCUGAGACAGGUGCUGCAUGGCUGUCGUCAGCUCGUGUUGUGAAAUGUUGGGUUAAGUCCCGCAACGAGCGCAACCCUUAUCCUUGUUUGCCAGCGAGUAAUGUCGGGAACUCCAGGGAGACUGCCGGUGAUAAACCGGAGGAAGGUGGGGACGACGUCAAGUCAUCAUGGCCCUUACGAGUAGGGCUACACACGUGCUACAAUGGCGCAUACAGAGGGCGGCCAACUUGCGAAAGUGAGCGAAUCCCAAAAAGUGCGUCGUAGUCCGGAUUGGAGUCUGCAACUCGACUCCAUGAAGUCGGAAUCGCUAGUAAUCGUGGAUCAGAAUGCCACGGUGAAUACGUUCCCGGGCCUUGUACACACCGCCCGUCACACCAUGGGAGUGGGCUGCAAAAGAAGUAGGUAGUUUAACCUUCGGGGGGACGCUUACC
rnacentral:rRNA from 1 species